CACAUGCAGUCGAACGGCAGCACAGUAAGAGCUUGCUCUUAUGGGUGGCGAGUGGCGGACGGGUGAGGAAUACAUCGGAAUCUACUUUUUCGUGGGGGAUAACGUAGGGAAACUUACGCUAAUACCGCAUACGACCUACGGGUGAAAGCAGGGGAUCUUCGGACCUUGCGCGAUUGAAUGAGCCGAUGUCGGAUUAGCUAGUUGGCGGGGUAAAGGCCCACCAAGGCGACGAUCCGUAGCUGGUCUGAGAGGAUGAUCAGCCACACUGGAACUGAGACACGGUCCAGACUCCUACGGGAGGCAGCAGUGGGGAAUAUUGGACAAUGGGCGCAAGCCUGAUCCAGCCAUACCGCGUGGGUGAAGAAGGCCUUCGGGUUGUAAAGCCCUUUUGUUGGGAAAGAAAUCCAGCCGGUUAAUACCUGGUUGGGAUGACGGUCCCCAAAGAAUAACCCCCGGCUAAUUUCGUGCCACCGGCCGCGGUAAUACGAAGGGUGCAAGCUUUACUCGAAAUUACUGGGCGUAAGGGGUGCGUGGGUGGUUGUUUAAGUUUGUGGUGAAA
rnacentral:rRNA from 1 species